rnacentral:lncRNA from 1 species
GCAUGUAUUCAAUGUUCAUACUCUUUGUAGAAUAACAUACAAUUGUUUUUGCAAGCAUGAAUUUUUUCAUAACCCAAUCCAAGACCAUUCAACACCUUUUGCGUGUGUCUAUGGUCUUUCGGCAAACAAUUGUCCAUCGGAAGCAUUCUCUUGAAAACCCCCAAAAAGUAAUCGAAACACAGGUUCGACAUACGAUACUUUAUUUUUCCGUACAUUAGCUCCACAAUGGUCGUGAGAACGGAAAAGCUCUCGCACCCCGGGUAUAACUCUUGGUUUGCAUUUUUUUAACAGUUGUUCAUAAUGUUCGAACUCCGCACUGUCCAUUGGGGUAGGCACGCUAUUUUCCCCUUCCUAAUUGAUGUUGGUCGAUGUAAAUGGAAAAACAUCAUUUAUAAUAUCCAUGACUUGUUCAUUAGGAUCUACAAUAGGUUUAACAUUGUCC